rnacentral:lncRNA from 1 species
GUGAUGUGUGAAUGUAAAAGCAAAUAAAUUACUGUGCUGUUCGUAUCUAUGCACAGACCGAUCCGAGGCUGCGUUCCAGUGCAAGUGAAAGGUCUUAAGAGGUGCUAAAAAUUUAGUCACUUUUGAUCAUUAGUAAUAAUUUGGUAUGCUUAAGUGAAUUGAUGUUAUGACGCUUGCUUUUCGGUGUUUUCACCUGUUUGACCCGGGCUAGAUUCCAGGAAUAAAUUCAUAUUUUCACCUUGGUAAAAUGUGAAUUUGUCCCCAUAAUCCCAUUGAAGCUUGUGAAUUUACUAAUUCGUGUUUUCUAUUUUUAGGACAGAACAUAUCUUGGUCUAUAAAUUAAUCUCUCUUUUGAUUGGUUAGUUCUAAUUAGAUUAGAUUAUUGUUCAUGAUUUGGUUAGUUCUAAUUAGAUGAUAUUAUUGUUCAUGGGGGGAAGAUCAGUGAGUGCCAUCUAUAGUUGUUGUUCAUAACUUCACUGCUCAAUGAAUGAAUAUGCAGAUCUGCAUGGCACCAACACUAUACAGGGUGUAUAAAAAAAGGUCAUCGAACUUCAGCACGCUAUUGUAUCUGAAUUACUCUGCAUAUUCGGAAAGAUCAGUCUUUUAUCUGUCGAAUGAUACGUUCUUCAUAGCAAAUGGAUAAAAAAUGAGCAAAUGCGAAUCCGAUAAAAAAUGUUAGUCAGAAUCGCAUAUUUUCACCGUUGAGAGUUGGGUCUAAAACCAUUGAACCCUCUUUGGUACUUAAGUUGAUGAAUUUCACCACGCAAAUAUUCAUAAUUAUUAUUAAGUAGGAAUAAAUCUUAGCUAAGCUACGACAAGUUCGUGAUUAAUUGCUUUUUCUUUUAUGCACUGCUUUAAUUAGGCACAGAGGUGAAAAUAUGCGAUUCUGACUAACAUUUUUCAUCGGACUCGUAUUUGCUUAUUUUUUCUCCACUUGGCAUGAAAAACAUGUCAUUCAAUAGCUAAAAGCAAGAUCUUUCCGAAUAUGAAAAAACGUUGUUCAUACGCCGAGUAAUUCACGUACAAUAGCGCGCUGAAGUUCGAUUACCCUUUUUUUAUACACCUGUAUAUUAUGCAAUAAUUUGAAGCAUCAUGUGAUUGCAUACCGGCACUAGCCAACCGUUCUUCCAUUUCACUGAUGUGCGUUGGAUAAAGUGUCCUCUAUUCUACGGUGUUUUAUCGCCUCAAUGCUCUGUCAAAGUGCAGACAAAUGGCACCAACUCGGAAACGGUUAAAGUACUUUGACACUACAGGUGCUUGAAUAGCCAAACCUACCAAUAUCUCUCUUCAGUGAUGUGUGAAUGUAAAAGGAAAUAAAUUACUGUGCUGUUCGUAUCUAUGCACAGACCGAUACGAGGCUGCGUUCCAGUGCAAGUGAAGGUCUUAAGAGGUGCUAAAAAUUUAGUCACUUUUGAUCAUUAGUAAUAAUUUGGUAUGCCUAAGUGAAUUGAUGUUAUGACGCUUGCUUUUCGAUGUUUUCACCUGUUUGACCUGGGCUAGAUUCCAGGAAUAAAUUCAUAUUUUCGCCUUGGUAAAAUGUGAAUUUGUCCCCAUAAUCCCAUUGAAGCUUGUGAAUUUACUAAUUCUUGUUUUCUAUUUUUAGGACAGAACAUAUCUUCAUUUGAAAACAACAAUCAAAAUGAACUCCAUUGGCUGCUUAGCUGCCUGUCUCUUGCUUCUGGCUUUGCCAAGCUCUGCUCGGUACAUGUAGGUAUCGAAUUAAUAGGCCACAUGCAAUGCGUCAAACCCUUUCCUUUCUACAGGCUUACCGUAGUAGAGAAGGGCAAUAUGGACGAACAAAAGAUUCGUACUUCGCAUAUAAUCCCCCUCCUAUUUAUUUAAUAACUUCACCUUCUACACAGUAUUAUAAUAUAUUUAUUGUAUCCCAAAUUCUUAAACGCUACACUUUCACGUCUAAUCUUAGCCCUUAUCCUUGUGAUAUACACUAAUUUCGGAACCGCGCGUACUGUAAUGCGGAAAAGAAUCUCAAAAUAUUAACGAGUUAAAUGUGUAUUUUAGAAGACAAGAACCAACUGGAAGAUGGCUGAAUGCGGCUGGAAAACAGGUCCUCGAUGAAAUACAAUUUAGACGGUAACGUGGAAAAUUGUGAUAUUCAGUUAAGGUUACAUGCAGGACACCUUUUGUGCCUUUCUGCGAAGAAUCUCUACUGCGCUUUUUAUCAAAACUUCAUCAAAUCUUCAUUAGUGUCAAAAGGGUCUCAAGUCGACAAACAAUAAAAUGAUUUAUAAAUUAUACAGGAAUUUUUAAAAGCGCAAUAACUUCACGCCUCUGAGUUAUGCUCCUGCCGGUUUUAAUUAAAAUAUAUUUUUUCAAAAAUGUCAUUCAUAUCCAGCUAAAUAGUUGUUCUAUAAAAUGGUGCCGAAUUUUUUUAUUUAUUUCGCCAUUCGUCUGAUAUAGCGACUUCUUUGAAGCCUAUGUUAUAUUUCAGAUUUUUUGGAAUGAAUCGCUCGCAAUUCACUAAAUAUCAAAAAUUAAAAGAAAGCCUGGCACCUUUGAAGCUGAGAUUUUCAGCUGUCUGCUGUGCAAACUCAGAAAAACCUGUUUAAACUGACCGCAGCAUAACACGCUUAAAAUCUGAAGUUGCGGAAAACAUUUAAUCGAGAAAAUCGAAUUUAUAUAUAUUUAUUAUUAGCAUGACAAAAUUACUGGAUGCUGCAUGAUUGGUUGAGAGGAGUACAAUUAUUUCAUUAAUUGUACUGCAGUACAAUUAAUGAUUUUCCCAAAACAAACAAAAUGGCAGAAAGGUAUUUUUAAAACACAUUUGUGUUUGAAAUUGUCCCAGAAGAACUAGAUGACAAUACGAACAAAAGCACCAAAUUUUGCUUUAACAAAAGAACUAAAUGAAAAUACGAACAAAGCACCAAAUUUUGGUUGAAAGUCUGGCAGGACUGGGCAUUGGCGAGACAAUAUGAUGUUGACAUUGAGAAGUAUCCAAUUCGACGGCUCGUCCAAUUUUGGCAAAAUUUCCAAACAUCACUCGUACUAUUAAUCCCUAAUUGUACUCGCCAUCGGCAUGAUUACCUAUACUUAUAUCAACUUCGCGGAUUUUUUUCACUUAAGGUGAUUCAUCAGUAAUUGUUAUGGAAAUGAGAAUUUGUUGAAACUUCCCAUGCAGGGGUGAAGUUUAUGAUAUGCGCACAAUAAAAACAGAAAAAAAGUUGGGCCGACCCCGAAUUCGUUUCGAAGAUAUGACAAAGUGCAAUAUGCCACCUUUCCCCACAUAUGGCGCCAUCUUGGUCGUUUUACGAGUUACAGGAACAAUUAACCGCAAUUGCUCAACCGUUAUUGAAUUUUUUAACACGGAUGCUACUGAAAAUGUCUAUCUAGUGAUAAUAUACAAGAAAACAUGGUAUUUUAGCGAAUCAAAAACCAUUGAUGUGCAUUGUCGAGGUGCAAAGAUCUUUUUCAUCUUCUCAUACAUGUUAUUCCAGGGAGCAUGCCCGAAAAAUGUAAAAUAUUAUAAGUUGUAGAAACGAUUUUUUUCUUAUUUUCAUGACAUGUAAAACGUAUAUAAGAAAAAUACAAUGGUUAAACAUGUAACAUGAUGUGAGUUAGUGUUAGUUGCACAGGGAGCCCUAGCCGGGCCAGAGUUCAGUAAUUUUUGAAGGAAUAUUUCCUGAAGCACGCCUAAUCUGUCUCACUAGACCUCUGCAGAUUGUGCUCGGCAACUUUUGAGCAACUUUUGACGAUUUGAGCAACUUUUGACGAUUUGAACAACCUGAAGCAACUUUUGCCUUAUUGAGCAACCGUAACCAACUUUUAAUCUUUUACACAUUUCACACGAAAAAAAGUGACACAAUUUAUGGUAUGGCUGCCUAAUAAUGCCUAACGAAUUAAAAAACAAAAUCUUGACCCGACUAACAUAUUUGAACAAUGACGAAAUAAUUGCAAGUUUGAAGCGAGAGCUGCCGGAGUAUCUAGCUGCUACAGAUGGUGUAUCUAUGGAGUAGUGAAGAUGAAAAGUUGGCGUGUUUGGCAGCCCAUAUAGCUAAUAAAACACUUCCGAAUUGGUCAGUUUUGGUUCAGAAACAAUUGCUCUUGCAACCGAGUUCAGCUUCUGCCGAAAGAGUCUUCAGCCUAUUAAUUAAACAAUGUAUUCAACGGCCAGUAAGAUUCCUCACUUACGGUCUAUCUUGAAUCCUCAGUGACGCUCAGACAGAACAACGCUAAAAGAAAUUCAUUAGCGCAAAUGUAUUUACUUUAUAAUCAGGAUGUAAGAAAUGUUGCUAGAGACUGUUCACUGUUCAGCACAUAUCGACUUUACAGUUAUAAUCUGAUGGAUUAACAGUAUCUACUUGUCUCUAAACCUUGUAUUCGAAUUGUCUUGUUAUUUACCUAGUACAAUAGAUUGUACUUGCUCAGUUUUUAGUAUGCUUUUCAUGAACAUCCAUGAAAAAUACCAGCAAUUAUUAGCAACUUUUUGAAAUUUAAGAGCAACUUUUCCACUUUUCUGGCAACUUUUGAGGAACUUUAGCAGUUUUUGUAGCAACGUUUUUGAAAUUCUUAAACGCUACACUUUCACGUCUAAUCUUAGCCCUUAAUCCUUAUCCUUGUGAUAUAAUUUCGGAACCGCGCGUACUGUAAUGCGGAAAAGAAUCUCAAAAUAUUAACCAUUUAAAUGUGUAUUUUAGAAGACAAGAACCAACUGGAAGAUGGCUGAAUGCGGCUGGAAAACAGGCCCUCGAUGAACUACAAUUUAGACGGUAACGUGGAAAAUUGUGAUUUUCAGCUAAAGCUAUACAUGCAGGACACCUUUUGUGCCUUUCUGCGAAGAAUAUCUACUACGCGCUUAAUA